GUUCACAAUAUUGGCCCUUACGAAUGUGGACUGCGAGUGGAGGAAGCCAGCCGUGCCCAACGAGGUGCAGUCAGUGGAGGACGUGUACCCGGACGAAGACUAUGGAAGGGGAGGAACCAUUGGAGUCAACAUGGGGCCAGCAUCCCUGUAGAAGGCUUUUGACACCUUGAGGAGUCCAUGCCCCGACCAAUUGAGGUGGUUCUGAGGGUAGAAGGAGGUGCAACUCAAUAUUAGGAAGGUGGCUAGAGAGUUGGGCCAGUAACCGAAAGGUUGCUGGAUCGAAUCCCUGAGCUGACAAGGUAAACAUCGGUCAUUCUGAACAAGGCUGUUAACCCACUGUUCCCCGGCCGUCAAUAUAAAUAAGAAUUUGUUCUUAUGUUCUUAACUGACUUGCCUAGUUAAAAAAAAAUUUAAAGUCCUAAUGUUUUGUAUACUCAGUGUAUAAUGCCAGAAGAGAAGGUGCAUCUGCCUAAUUACAGACAAGUUGACUAAUAAAUAGCAGAAACACAUCUAAAUCAGGAAGAACAAUGUCUGCAUCCCCCUGUUAAAACUCGUUUAGCCGUUUCUGACUGUAGACUACAGGUCACUUUUUAUAUUAUCGGUUUAGAGUGGGGUGUAGGCAUCAGAUUCUCACUUUAUCACAUAGGCUAUAGUCGGACGGUUGCUGAUGGGUUAUUAGCUAUUGUGGUCGGUUGCUGAUGGGUUAUUAGCUAUUGUGGUCGGUUGCUGAUGGGUUAUUAGCUAUAGUCGGACGGUUGCUGAUGGGUUAUUAGCUAUUGUGGUCGGUUGCUGAUGGGUUAUUAGCUAUAGUCGGACGGUUGCUGAUGGGUUAUUAGCUAUUGUGGUCGGUUGCUGGUGAACAAACAGCUGACAUGCGCACCACUACAAAGACCUGUGUCUAUACAGCCUCUCCCCAUCAGGACUGAACUGAACUGAACUGAAUCCGUUCAUCUCCACUCGACACUCGCAGCGCGACAAAACAUCUUCAAUUAGGACACCAGGCGUGUCCGUAUAGCCCCUCUUUCGGGGAGAGCUUCUUCCGUAUAGCCCCUCUUCCGGGGACAUCCUCUUCCGGUAAGAGCCUCCUCUUCCUAAUGACGUCGCGUAGCUACCGUUUUGGUAGUCGAGGAUUCGUUGAAGAAAAGCGAAGAGAUUGUUGUCAACAACACGGGUUUUUAACACUGCCCUAGUUAAUUUACAGAGAACAAGAUGUCAGAUACAGACACGAAACCUUCAGGUCCAGAUGGAGGAGACCAAAAGGAUGGAGAGUACAUCAAACUGAAAGUGAUCGGUCAGGACAACAGUGAAAUUCACUUCAAAGUGAAAAUGACCACCCAUCUGAAGAAGCUGAAGGAGUCUUACAGCCAGAGACAGGGUGUUCAUAUGAGUACCUUACGGUUUCUAUUUGAGGGACAACGAAUCUCAGACAACCACACUCCAAAAGAGCUGGGGAUGGAAGACGAGGACGUCAUCGAGGUGUAUCAGGAACAGACUGGAGGACUUCGGAAUAAUUAGUCUACCUGGAUUUAACUUUUGUUGUUGUUGAUGAUGAUAAUAUUGUAUUUUAUAUUUGUACAAUUAAUUUACUGAGUGAAUUUUGUUUUGGCUUUGUGUUCCUCUCAGUGGUAGAGAGGAGAGAAUAACUGUUAUCGUUCUGUUUGUGCUGUUUUGCCAACUUGCGUGGCAAAAAGUUGUCACAAACAGACUGGCACUCGGGCUCUAUCUGUUUGUGCUGGCGUGACAAUGACUGUAGGAGUUGGCAAGACGGCACAGAAUGCAUUACAGAGUAGAAGUGCUGAUCGGGGAUCAGUUUUGCCUUUAAGAAUCAUAGGGGAUUUAAAAAAAAAAUUUACCAGGCAAGUCGGUUAAGAACAAAUUGUUAUUUACAACGACGGCCUACCGAGGAACAGUGGGUUAACUGCCUUGUUCAGGGGGCAGAACCACAGAUUUUUAUUUUCUUUUUUACCUCGUCAGCUCGGGGAUUCGAUCCAGAAACCUUUCGGUUACUGGCCCAACGCUCUAACCACUAGGCUACCUGCCACCCCAUUGACUACAUGGACAAGAGGGACCCUGAUUCCUAGAUCAGCACUCCUACUGUUUUAUGAUUACGGCCACCGGAACAAGGCUACUAUGAUUCCCCCCCCCCCCCCAUGUGGUCCAUCAGAAGACUCAUUAGGUUGGAUAAAUGUUUUCUUCAGACCCCUCCCCCCCCGUAGCUUCAGUUUGGUUGAUUGUCAUCCGUCCCCCAUAUAUAUAGCGUUCGACAGUAUAUAUUUUACUAGCUGAAGAUCCAGGUAACUGCCAAAGUAAAAGGAAACACUAACAUUGGGUGUUAAUAGGGUCACCACGACCCAGAACAGCUUCAAUGCACCUCGAGGGUAGAUUCUACAAGUGUCUUGAACUCUAUUGGAGGGAUGAGACACCAUUCUUCUUCCACGAGAAAUUCCAUUAUUUUGGUGUUUUGAUGAUGAUGAUGAUGAUGAUGAUGAUGGUGGCGGCGGGAAAAACGUUUUCUCAGGCACCGCUCCAGACUCUCCCGUAAGUGUUCAAUUUGGGUUGAGAUCUGGUGACCUGAGAUGGUCGUGGUCUUUGGGUUUUAUCGUUUUUUUUGUAAAAUGCUCACUAAACCAUUCGGUGACCUCUCAAGCCCUGUGGAUGGGGAUGGGGAUGGGGGGGGGGGGGUUGUCGUGGUAACCAAAAUAAUGUCCUGCUCAGCAUUAUUUUUUUUUUUUUGCUUGACCCUAAGCAUGAUGGGAUGUUAAUUGCUUAAUUAAUUUUGGGUUACAACACCUGUGUUGAAGCAUCUGCUUUCAAUAUAUUUUUGUAUCCCUCAUUUCCUCAUGUGUUUUUCCUUUGUUUUGGCAGUUACCUGUAGCUAGCGUGCCACUGUUAUUUCCUGACUUUUAUGUCAAGGUGUUAUACGACUUCAAUAACGUCUCAUCCUCGGGUUCAUUCAAAACGCUUGUCCACAGUCUUAAGUAUUUUAAUAACCAUCAUGUUCCCAUUCACUGCCUGUCUCUUUCUGUUAGAGAACUGGUCAAAUACCUUCUUAUUAAAGGCUCUAUUCAAUCAGCAUCGUCGAAGUCCAGCUUUGCAGCGGGAUUGAAAUAUAAACACAACGAUCCCGCUUUACCGGAAGACUUCACUCCCGGUAAACGCUGCACAUGUAGUAGGCUGAAACCGGGAGACUUCACUGCUGUUAAACGCUGCACAUGUAGUAGGCUGAAACCGGGAGACUUCACUCCCGGUAAACGCUGCACAUGUAGUAGGCUGAAACCGGGAGACUUCACUGCUGUUAAACGCUGCAGAUGUAGUAGGCUGAAACCGGAAGACUUCACUCCCGGUAAACGCUGCACAUGUAGUAGGCUGAAACCGGGAGACUUCACUCCCGGUAAACGCUGCAGAUGUCGUAGGCUGAAACCGGGAGACUUCACUCCCGGUAAACGCUGCAGAUGUCGUAGGCUGAAACCGGGAGACUUCACUCCCGGUAAACGCUGCAGAUGUCGUAGACUCAACCGGGAGACUACCGCGGAAUCUCUUCAGCUUUCCAGAUUGAAGAGGGCUCUUAAUCCGUAGUACAUAAUUUGUACUCUCAACUGUAUAGUACUCUGUAGUACUGAUCUGUAUAGUACUCUGUAGCUCUGAACUAUAUAGUACUCUGUAGUACUGAUCUGAACUGUAUAGUACUCUGUAGUACUGAACUGUAUAGUACUCUGUAGUACUGAACUGUAUAGUACUCUGUAGCUCUGAACUGUAUAGUACUCUGUAGCUCUGAACUGUAUAUGAAUUACUUUUUAAAGGCCCAGUGCAGUCAAAAACUAGAUUUUCCUUUGUUUUGUAUAUAUUUCCACACUGAGGUUUGAUUAAUAUUGUGACAAUACUGAUAAUGCCCUUUUAGUGUAAGAGCUGAUUGAAAAGAACACCUGAAAUAUCAGCCUGUUUUUGUUUUGAUGGAGGUUUAGCCUUGUAAUUUAGUUAAUAGACCGAAAUGGGAGUUCCAAACCUCUCUGCCAAUAGUUUUCAAUGUUCCCCUCCCCACUCAGACCCUCUCUACCAAUAACAGCUAGGUUCCCUCCCCCACUCGACCCUCUCUACCAAUAACAGCUAGUUUCCCUCCCCCACUCAGACCCUCUCUACCAAUAACAGCUAGUUUCCCUCCCCACUCAGAACCUCUCUACCAAUAACAGCUAGGUUCCCUCCCCCACUCAGACCCUCUCUACCAAUAACAGCUAGGUUCCCUCCCCCACUCAGACCCUCUCUACCAAUAACAGCAAGGUUCCCUCCCCCACUCAGACCCCCUCUACCAAUAACAGCUAGGUUCCCUCCCCCACUCAGAACCUCUCUACCAAUAACAGCUAGGUUCCCUCCCCCACUCAGACCCUCUCUACCAAUAACAGCUAGGUUCCCUCCCCCACUCAGAACCUCUCUACCAAUAACAGCUAGGUUCCCUCCCCCACUCAGACCCUCUCUACCAAUAACAGCUAGGUUCCCUCCCCCACUCAGACCCUCUCUACCAAUAACAGCUAGGUUCCCUCCCCCACUCAGAACCUCUCUACCAAUAACAGCUAGGUUCCCUCCCCCACUCAGAACCUCUCUACCAAUAACAGCUAGGUUCCCUCCCCCACUCAGAACCUCUCUACCAAUAACAGCUAGGUUCCCUCCCCCACUCAGACCCUCUCUACCAAUAACAGCUAGGUUCCCUCCCCCACUCAGACCCUCUCUACCAAUAACAGCUAGGUUCCCUCCCCCACUCAGACCCUCUCUACCAAUAACAGCUAGGUUCCCUCCCCCACUCAGACCCUCUCUACCAAUAACAGCUAGGUUCCCUCCCCCAUUCAGAACCUCUCUACCAAUAACAGCUAGGUUCCCUCCCCCACUCAGACCCUCUCUACCAAUAACAGCUAGGUUCCCUCCCCCACUCAGACCCUCUCUACCAAUAACAACUAGGUUCCCUCCCCCACUCAGACCCUCUCUACCAAUAACAGCUGGGUUCCCUCCCCACUCAGACCCUCUCUACCAAUAACAGCUAGGUUCCCUCCCCCACUCAGAACCUCUCUACCAAUAACAGCUGGGUUCCCUCCCCACUAAAUGUAACACGUUUGGUAAACAAUAUUGUUUAUAUUAUUACCGACAGGAUAAAGGCUGUGAGUUCCCAGCCAAAAUACUGAGCACUUUCUUAAUUCUGACUAACCUUGCAUUGUACACACUUCAUAUUUUCUAAAAAGAAAAUCAUGCAUUCAAAUGUUACCCCCUCUUGUAUAUUUUGUAUACGCCUUUUUAUAUAUAUAUAUAUAUAUUUUAUGUGAGUAAGACUUUUUUUUCAUCUCAUGUUAUUAGUUGUCUCAUUUCAGGAGGGGAGACCAUCAUAUGCAGUUUGGGUAUGCUGUACGCGGGGUGAUCAGUUUGGGUAUGCUGUACGCGGGGUGAUCAGUUUGGGUAUGCUGUACGCGGGGUGAUCCGUUUGGGUAUGCUGUACGUGGGGUGAUCAGUUUGGGUAUGCUGUACGCGGGGUGAUCAGUUUGGGUAUGCUGUACGCGGGGUGAUCAGUUUGGGUAUGCUGUACGCGGGGUGAUCAGUUUGGGUAUGCUGUACGCGGGGUGAUCAGUUUGGGUAUGCUGUACGUGGGGUGAUCAGUUUGGGUAUGCUGUACGCGGGGUGAUCAGUUUGGGUAUGCUGUACGCGGGGUGAUCAGUUUGGGUAUGCUGUACGCGGGGUGAUCAGUUUGGGUAUGCUGUACGUGGGGUGAUCAGUUUGGGUAUGCUGUACGUGGGGUGAUCAGUUUGGGUAUGCUGUACGUGGGGUGAUCAGUUUGGGUAUGCUGUACGCGGGGUGAUCAGUUUGGGUAUGCUGUACGCGGGGUGAUCAGUUUGGGUAUACUGGACGCGGGUGAUCAGUUUGGGUAUGCUGUACGCGGGUGAUCCGUUUGGGUAUACUGGACGCGGGUGAUCAGUUUGGCUAUGCUGAACGCGGGGUGAUCAGUUUGGGUAUGCUGUAUGUGGGGUGAUCAGAUUGGGUAUGCUGUACGUGGGGUGAUCAGUUUGGGUAUGCUGUACGCGGGGUGAUCCGUUUGGGUAUGCUGUACGCGGGGUGAUCAGUUUGGGUAUGCUGUACGCGGGGUGAUCAGUUUGGGUAUGCUGUACGCGGGGUGAUCAGUUUGGGUAUGCUGUACGCGGGGUGAUCAGUUUGGGUAUGCUGUACGCGGGGUGAUCCGUUUGGGUAUGCCGUGCGCGGGGUGAUCAGUUUGGGUAUGCUGUACGUGGGUGAUCAGUUUGGGUAUACUGUACGUGGGUGAUCCGUUUGGGUAUGCUGUACGCGGGUGAUCCGUUUGGGUAUGCUGUACGCGGGUGAUCCGUUUGGGUAUGCCGUGCGCGGGUUUUCAGUUUGGGUAUACUGUACGCGGGUGAUCAGUUUGGGUAUGCCGUACGCGGGUGAUCAGUUUGGGUAUGCUGUACGCGGGUGAUCAGUUUGGGUAUGCUGUACGCGGGUGAUCAGUUUGGGUACGCGGGUGAUCAGUUUGGGUAUACUGUACGUGGGUGAUCAGUUUGGGUAUACUGUACGCGGGUUUUCAGUUUGGGUAUACUGUACGCGGGUGAUCAGUUUGGGUAUGCUGUACGCGGGUGAUCCGUUUGGGUACGCCGUACGCGGGUGAUCGUACCUAAAGCUACUCAGGUAUCUACUCUCCUCCUCUGCUGAAGCAAAGCAGGAGGUCUAGCUGUAAAGGAUUGUACAUCCCCUCAAAUGGCACCCUAUUCUCUUUAUGUAGGGCACUAUUUUUGACCCGGACCCUAUUACGUGUACACAGUGUCUCACUGCGUCGAGCCAUAGAAUCACUUUGAUUUAAGUCACUCUUUAGAGAUGUAUAUAAUAGUUUUUUUACUUUUUUUUUUACUUUAGUUGCCAUGGAAGUGAAUGCAAUGCAUACAGUGUGUGUAUUCCGGAAUAGCACCUUAUUCCUUUUAUAGUGUGUUACUUUUGACCAGAGUCCUUG
rnacentral:lncRNA from 1 species